CAGCAGCAGCAGCAGCAACAUCAAAACCAACAACGCAGAGAACAGCUCUGAUGACGACGAGCCGCUCAUCAAGAUGAUCAAGAAAGCUCCGAGCAACGAGCAGCUGAAGGAGGCGGUGCAGAGUCUGCUGAAGGAGGCCGACCUGGAGCAGAUGACCAUGAAGCAGAUCUGCCAGAUGGUGUUCGACACCUACCCAGAACACAACCUGGCCAACAAGAAGGAUUACAUCAAACAGACCGUCAAAUCUCUCAUCACAUGAAGAUCUGAAGAAGAGCGAUCGCUGCAGAGCAUCCCGGGGGGAGCGUUUCCAUUCGAGUCACAUCAGUUUGUUUUCAUGUAAAGUUGUUUCAUAACGGUGUGACUUGAGUUUAGAUUUCCAGAACAGCUCACCGGUGGUCGUGGGUUAGGCUUAGGUCAUGAUUUGCUAGAUUUAUUUUUCUACAUUGAUUUCCCUCCGAGUAAAGUGUGUGAGUUGUUUCGCAGUAAAGUCCAGUAGCUCUCUUAUGUGACGCCAAAUCAGACCUUUGCCUCGCAAGGACGCCACGUUGUUAUUCCUGGAUGAAGAUUUGUACAUAUGUGUUUCUAAUAAGCUGUUUUUCAUUAACUCAUUCGUUCAUCUAUGAAAGCGGUUUUUGUACGCUUGGUUCCUUUCCUCAGACAUUACUUCAGUUUAAAAUCCUUAAACUAAUCAUCUGUACUUAUUAAUGAUUAAAAUUGUACUUUUUAACGAAA